UACGUAGGUGGCAAGCGUUGUCCGGAAUUAUUGGGCGUAAAGCGCGCGCAGGCGGUCCUUUAAGUCUGAUGUGAAAGCCCACGGCUCAACCGUGGAGGGUCAUUGGAAACUGAGGGACUUGAGUACAGAAGAGGAAAGCGGAAUUCCACGUGUAGCGGUGAAAUGCGUAGAGAUGUGGAGGAACACCAGUGGCGAAGGCGGCUUUCUGGUCUGUAACUGACGCUGAGGCGCGAAAGCGUGGGGAGCAAACAGG
rnacentral:rRNA from 1 species